GGAGUGCAGAGGUUGAAACCAGGUGUGAGGAAGUAUGCCUGUAAAGUCAUACUGGACCCAAACACAGCCAACAGAAAGCUCCUCCUGUCUGAUGACAACAGAAAGGUGACAGUGGUGA